rnacentral:siRNA from 1 species
UUCGUUACUAUUUGAAACGCAC